rnacentral:lncRNA from 1 species
AACCACUGUCACCAGUGUCCCCGUGUCACUAAUGUCACCCGUGUCACCAGUGACAUUUAGUGACUACCAGAAAGUGGUCUGGGGGGAAAUGAGGUGCAGUGCAAAGGACCAAAACGUGCCAAAACUGACCUCACAGAUGCUGCAAAAGCAGGGGGGAAAAUUAAGGAGGAAGAUGCAGCUUUGAGGGGAAGAUAUGGCUGACAUGGCACGGAUACUUGAAAAAAACAUGAAUCUUGGCCAAAGUGAGAGCCAUCCAAAGGGAUGGGGUGCCAAGAAGGGACAUCUCAGCUGUGUGCUGAAGGAAAGCCCUCCUCACAUUUGGGGCUCUGGGGUUUUGGCUGCUCUUGGCUGCUGCUUGCUUUUCCUUGUGGGUACAAGGCUCCCAUCAGCUCAUUAGCAUCAGCUGCAGCCACAUCUUUUAUGCAAAUGCCUGAUCAGUUUAUGAACUGCUCCUUGUUUUCAGUUUCAGGUGGGAUAGUUAUAAAUACCCAGACUAAAAUAGGCUUAUUACAAAAGCUCAUUAGGAGAUUCAGAGGUGUGAUCCUGGCGUGGGGAGAGUGAGCAGUGAGGAGCUGCUGUGCCAGAGCUGCAGGAUGCCAGAGCCUGGCUCUGCUGCUCUCACACCUGCAGAUGCUGUGAGGGUUCAUCCAACAAUGCAGCUGAAACCCUGCCCUGGUGGAGGCAGCUGCACGGUGGCCAUCAAUCCAUUUCCUCCAGGAAACCAGGUGAGACACGGAGCUCUGGGCUCCCAAACUGAGAGUGCUAAGGAAUGCAGCUAUUUAUAAAAAUAUGCAAGCUGUACCGAGGGAGAUAAGCCUUGCUUAUGAAUAACAUUAGCCUAAAGUGCUCAGCUGAGCUCUCAUCCCUUCCCUGCCACUGCUCUCGCUGCAGAUUGGGGGGGAGAUAAGGGACAUUUGUGAGCCCAGGGGAAGGGCUGCUGUAAGUUAUUCCAACAUUCCAGCUUGGCUUUUCUCUUCCCAUUUUGUGUUAAUUUGGACCUGGCUCUUCCAUCACUCCUGGUGAGGUGCCCAGCCCUUGGUGCCACACCUGGGGGUGCCACACCUGGGGGUGCCAUGUGUCCAGGGGGUGACCCCUGGGAGACCUGGGCAGGAGCAGCAGGGCCAGG